UCGUUAGCUCAGUCGGUAGAGCAGUUGACUUUUAAUCAAUGGGUCGCAGGUUCGAGCCGAGCGGAGCGAGACA
rnacentral:tRNA from 1 species